rnacentral:rRNA from 1 species
UACGGGGGGAGCAAACGUUGUUCGGAAUCACUGGGCGUAAAGGGCGUGUAGGCGGCCUGGCGCGUCGGCUGUGAAAUCUCCCGGCUCAACUGGGAGGGGACGGCCGAUACGGCUGGGCUUGAGCGAGGUAGGGGAGAGUGGAAUUCCCGGUGUAGUGGUGGAAUGCGUAGAUAUCGGGAGGAACACCGGUGGUGUAGACGGCUUUCUGGACCGUAACUGACGCUGAGACACGAAAGCGUGGGUAGCAAACAGG